rnacentral:lncRNA from 1 species
CUUUUUUAACAUUAACACUGAGGAUUCCACAGAAAUUGCAUUUUAUAAACCAAAUUAAGUGCAUCAGUGUUGUGCUGUGUUUGGGUUUCCUAACAUUCCUUACAUGUGGCAUUGUCCCAUGUUCCCAUUUUUACUCAGUUGGAGACACACUAGUCUGGUGUUUGAGCCUGGAAUGAGGAAAGGGGAGUGGGAGGAAGAUAAGUGGUAUCCCAUUCUCUCCCACUGCCUGAUUCUGGCAAGCCAGUAAGCCCAGCCGUCUCCCCACACACAUACUCUUGGUCUGGCUCUGAAUGCCCCACAUUCUCCAGUCCAGAAUGUCAUGCAUCUGCAUCAUGUCUGUUGCACAAGAGAGCAACCACAGCCUCAAGCCCUGGAGGAGAAGCCUCUGACUCUCCUUGGUCACUCCCAGCAGAUUCA